GGUCGCGGCGGUGUGCGCAGAAGGGUCUGGGCGUGAGCCUGCCUGGAGCCGCCGUCGGUGCAGAUCUUGGUGGUAGUAGCAAAUACUCCAGCGAGGCCCUGGAGGACUGACGUGGAGAAGGGUUUCGUGUGAACAGCCGUUGCACACGAGUCAGUCGAUCCUAAGCCCUAGGAGAAAUCCUAUGUCGAUGACGGUGUAUUUAGAAAGGCACACCUAGUGCACACCCGUCGGGCGAAAGGGAAUCCGGUUCCUAUUCCGGAACCCGGCAGCGGAACCGCAAUAAAUUCGGGCCCUCUUAUGAGUGUUCGGCGGGGUAACCCAAAGUGACCUGGAGACGCCGUCGGGAGAUCCGGGAAGAGUUUUCUUUUCUGUAUAAGCGUUCGAGUUCCCUGGAAACCUCUAGCAGGGAGAUAGGGUUUGGAACGCGAAGAGCACCGCAGUUGCGGCGGUGUCCGGAUCUUCCCCUCGGACCUUGAAAAUCCAGGAGAGGGCUACGUGGAGGUGUCGCGCCGGAUCGUACCCAUAUCCGCAGCAGGUCUCCCAGGUUAAGAGCCUCUAGACGAUAGAACAAUGUAGGUAAGGGAAGUCGGCAAAUUGGAUCCGUAACUUCGGG
rnacentral:rRNA from 1 species